CUAACAUCGCAUUUCUUGGUUCGUUGUUAUUAUUAUUAUUUUUUAAUUUGUGAAAUAAUGCCGCGUGUUGUGUUUGAUUGUAGGUGCGUAUCGGAGCUAUUACGGAGGAAGAAGCAAUCGGAUGUGAUGAGGUUCUUGCAGAGGGUCCGGUGCAUGGGGAGUAUCGCCAGCAUCCUUCCAUCGUUCGGGUCACCAGGCCAACCCGACCCGAUAAGGCCCGCCGCCUCGGCUACGAGGGCUAUGUGAUUUAUCGUGUCAAGGUCAGACGUGGAGGUCGAAAGAGGCCAGUUCCCAAGGGAACUGUGUAUAGUAAGCCAAAGAACCAAGGACUCAACCUACAAAUACUUUGAGGUCAUCCUUGUGGAUGCUGCUCACAACGCUAUCCGCAACAAGCCAGGGAUCAACUGGAUAUGCAAGGGUGUGCACAAGCACCGCGAGCUCCGUGGGCUUACUUCUGCUGGCAAGGAGUAUAGAGGUCUUAGAGGAAAAGGUCAUCUUUACCAUAAGAACAGGCCAUCUAGAAGGGCAACUUGGAAGAGGAACCAGGCGAAGUCCCUUCGCCGAUAUCGCUGAGCUUGUUGAAAGGCUUGAGUGUCGAAGUUUUCUUACUUGUGCUUUUGAUAGUUUAUUUGAGUACUAUUUUUUUAAUUUACUACCUUCUAUACGUUUGGUGUUUGAUUGUCAGAAAUUUGAUGCAUUGUUGUGGUUCUAGACUAGUUAUUCUCAAACGCUGUAGCCUCUUGGUACCUGCUUUAACGGACUUGCUCUUCCUAUGGGCCUU